rnacentral:rRNA from 1 species
GUCGAGCGACUGAUUAGAAGCUUGCUUCUAUGACGUUAGCGGCGGACGGGUGAGUAACACGUGGGCAACCUGCCUGUAAGACUGGGAUAACUUCGGGAAACCGAAGCUAAUACCGGAUAGGAUCUUCUCCUUCAUGGGAGAUGAUUGAAAGAUGGUUUCGGCUAUCACUUACAGAUGGGCCCGCGGUGCAUUAGCUAGUUGGUGAGGUAACGGCUCACCAAGGCAACGAUGCAUAGCCGACCUGAGAGGGUGAUCGGCCACACUGGGACUGAGACACGGCCCAGACUCCUACGGGAGGCAGCAGUAGGGAAUCUUCCGCAAUGGACGAAAGUCUGACGGAGCAACGCCGCGUGAGUGAUGAAGGCUUUCGGGUCGUAAAACUCUGUUGUUAGGGAAGAACAAGUACGAGAGUAACUGCUCGUACCUUGACGGUACCUAACCAGAAAGCCACGGCUAACUACGUGCCAGCAGCCGCGGUAAUACGUAGGUGGCAAGCGUUAUCCGGAAUUAUUGGGCGUAAAGCGCGCGCAGGCGGUUUCUUAAGUCUGAUGUGAAAGCCCACGGCUCAACCGUGGAGGGUCAUUGGAAACUGGGGAACUUGAGUGCAGAAGAGAAAAGCGGAAUUCCACGUGUAGCGGUGAAAUGCGUAGAGAUGUGGAGGAACACCAGUGGCGAAGGCGGCUUUUUGGUCUGUAACUGACGCUGAGGCGCGAAAGCGUGGGGAGC